GAUGAAGAACGCAGCGAAACGCGAUAAGUAAUGUGAAUUGCAGAAUUCAGUGAAUCAUCGAAUCUUUGAACGCACCUUGCACCCUUUGGACUGCUCCAAAGGGUAUGCUCGUUUGAGUGUCAUUGUACUCUCACACUCUCUGAUCCUUUGGAUUUGGGGAGCAGUGGACUUGGGUGCUUGCUGCUUCCUUGUGGCUCACCUGAAAUGCAUCAGUGCAUCUCUCGAUUGGACAUAGUACGGCGUGAUAAGUGUCUUCGCCGGCACCUCAUAUGAGGGUGGCCGAUCGGGAGCUCUGUGCUUUCAAACCGUCUUCGGACAACGCUGACAACUUGACCUCAAAUCGAGUAGGACUACCCGCUGAACUUAAGCAUAUCAAUAAGCGGAGGA
rnacentral:misc_RNA from 1 species